rnacentral:rRNA from 1 species
GGCUUAGAGUUUGAUCAUGGCUCAGAUUGAACGCUGGCGGCAGGCCUAACACAUGCAAGUCGAGCGGAUGAGUGGAGCUUGCUCCAUGAUUCAGCGGCGGACGGGUGAGUAAUGCCUAGGAAUCUGCCUGGUAGUGGGGGACAACGUUUCGAAAGGAACGCUAAUACCGCAUACGUCCUACGGGAGAAAGUGGGGGAUCUUCGGACCUCACGCUAUCAGAUGAGCCUAGGUCGGAUUAGCUAGUUGGUGAGGUAAAGGCUCACCAAGGCGACGAUCCGUAACUGGUCUGAGAGGAUGAUCAGUCACACUGGAACUGAGACACGGUCCAGACUCCUACGGGAGGCAGCAGUGGGGAAUAUUGGACAAUGGGCGAAAGCCUGAUCCAGCCAUGCCGCGUGUGUGAAGAAGGUCUUCGGAUUGUAAAGCACUUUAAGUUGGGAGGAAGGGCAGUAAGUUAAUACCUUCUGUUUUGACGUUACCAACAGAAUAAGCACCGGCUAACUUCGUGCCAGCAGCCGCGGUAAUACGAAGGGUGCAAGCGUUAAUCGGAA